rnacentral:rRNA from 1 species
GAUGAACGCUAGCUACAGGCUUAACACAUGCAAGUCGCAGGGUAACAUGAGGAAAGCUUGCUUUCCUUGAUGACGACUGGCGCACGGGUGAGUAACGCGUAUCCAACCUUCCCAUAACUACGGGGUAACCCGUUGAAAGACGGCCUAAUACCGUAUGAUAUCGUUUGCUGACAUCAAAUAACGAUUAAAGGUUUAGCGGUUAUGGAUGGGGAUGCGUCUGAUUAGCUUGUUGGCGGGGUAACGGCCCACCAAGGCGACGAUCAGUAGGGGUUCUGAGAGGAAGGUCCCCCACAUUGGAACUGAGACACGGUCCAAACUCCUACGGGAGGCAGCAGUGAGGAAUAUUGGUCAAUGGGCGAGAGCCUGAACCAGCCAAGUAGCGUGCAGGAUGACGGCCCUAUGGGUUGUAAACUGCUUUUAUGUGGGGAUAAAGUGCGUGACGUGUCAUGCAUUGCAGGUACCACAUGAAUAAGGACCGGCUAAUUCCGUGCCAGCAGCCGCGGUAAUACGGAAGGUCCGGGCGUUAUCCGGAUUUAUUGGGUUUAAAGGGAGCGUAGGCUGUCUAUUAAGCGUGUUGUGAAAUUUACCGGCUCAACCGGUGGCUUGCAGCGCGAACUGGUCGACUUGAGUAUGCAGGAAGUAGGCGGAAUUCAUGGUGUAGCGGUGAAAUGCUUAGAUAUCAUGACGAACUCCGAUUGCGCAGGCAGCUUACUGUAGCAUAACUGACGCUGAUGCUCGAAAGUGCGGGUAUCAAACAGG